GCUGUCUAGAAGCUGCCUCACCAGUGUCCUCUCUGAGGGCCAGGUAGCAAACUCACAGACUAGUUUUAGAAGAACUUUAUCAGCCUUCAUCUCAAACCACAUCAUUGGAGACUAUCGAAAAAAUACAGGAGACCAGGACCAAGUUCCCAGCCUUGCAAACAACAUCUUCCCAGACCACCGAGGAGACAGAAGUCUUAGGGAGUUUCCUAGGAUUACCAAGUCAUAAUGAUUCCACAAUAAAACACUUUAUCAUGCUGGGUCUAAACAUCCAAGAAAAGUGUCACUUGUGCGAGGGGAAGCUGGAAGCUGGAAGCUGGAAGGAGCCCGCUUCUCUAGAACCAGAACAAUUCCUGAGUCCGGUAAGAACUUUAGUACAUUGCCUCUUCUCAUCGAGCCUACAUCCAUUUCUCUAAAAUGGAAAGGGGAGUCCAGUGUAAUGGAGCAAUCUGUAAGGAACCUCCAUACAAGUGUGAAGGACUGAGUUUCAGCCUCAGACCCCAUAUAAAAGCUAGAUACAGUGACAUGUGCCUGCAAGAGCCCAGCAGAGAGGAGAAUUCCAGGGAUUUGCUGAUCAGCCUGUCUAGUGGAAGCAGUGAGCUGCAAGAUCAGUGAGAGACCCUGCCUCAAAAACAUAUGAUGGGAAAGGAUUGUGGAAGAUACCCAGCAUUGAUCUCUGGCCUCCAUGUUCAUGCUUGUGCAUACACAAACACACACACACACACACACACACACACCCCACACUCAUAAAUAUGCAGUGUUCUAAUUCUGAAGCCUCCGUUCUUCUAAAGGAUAAUAAAGUCUGGUGCAUUUGUUCUUAAUGAAAUUAACACCAGGUUAAAUAAUCAAAGAGCUUGCUGGGAGGUUGGUGCACCAGCAGAUAGAAUAGAAUGUUUCUCCUGGCCCUUGAAUUCAGUAUGUUUUCUUAGAAAUAAGACUAAAACCUAAUGCUAUAGAAAAUGCCAUGAGUAUUUGCAUAUCCUACAAAGAAUAUUUGCAUAUAAUUGGUUGUAUAAAGCAGGGUGCGUGUUUCUUGGGGUGAGAUGCCAGCUGGCUGACAACUCUCCUGUGUGAUUCUGGUGUGCCAGGUACUUGUCAGGUAGUGUUGAGUCCUCAGAACCACAGAUGCUUAGUACUUGUUGAACACACCUUGAAACUGAGGGCCAGAGCCAGAACUGGCUGGCAGUAGCACCACAGGACAUAGGGACAUCACUACUCUUGGUGCCACUUUUCUCGCCUACAGCAUCACAGUAUCUGGUGGAAGGGGUGUGUCUGCAGUGACACCUGCAAGGUGGAUUAAGGUCACUGGGAUUUAGUCACAGCCUUCUGUUGCACGGAAGGUUUGGACAAAGUGACCUCUACAAUCCAGUCCACUGAGGUUUCAGACUUAAGGUACUCACUUAAGUAGCAGUUACCAAAAACAAACUCUGAAACACAUCUGCCCAGGAUUCGCAGGAAAAGCAUGUUUUCAGAUCAAAUGUGUUUGGAAAAUAUUCCUAAUUAUGUCCCCAGUUAGAGACUUAUAAUGCAUGUUACAAACAUCAAACUCUCCGAUAAGGCACACAAUUAAAGCCCGAGUAGUUACUUAAUCUCUUUCCUAGACUUGAUGAAUUGUCAACCCCCCCCCCUUUUUUCUCUACCCACAUAACACAUAGAGGCACUUGUUGAGGGAACUAGAGUAACAGAAAUGGCUGUAGUUCCCGAGUUCUCACUGGUCAGAGCAGCAGCAGUUCUCAGGAAGACUCGGGGGUCAGAAGUGAGGGCUGGAGAGAGAACCUGAUUAGGACUGAUGCUCACCGGCUUCUGCUUCCAGGAGCUCUUAAAGCUCACAUAUGGUUUACUCGUGAAAAGCAAGAGCCAGGGCUCCCAUGCAAGCCCUUCUAGAAGAAACUAACACCAUUGAUACUGCUUCUGAAAUCUUGACAUUCGAGUAUCUCAGUGCUCUCUGUAUAUUUUUAUGGUUGUGUAAAAAACCGUCUUAUGGAUGAACACAAA